ensembl:lncRNA
CCCUUCUAGGGGCACCUGUGACGCAGUAAAGACAGGCCCUGAUGUCACAGACUGCCAGGUGUGGCAGGAGGCUUGGCAGGCGGGAAGAAAGCUUUGUGAAAAGGAAGCCUUGUGACCUGUUGUAGGGAGAGCUCUCUGAGUGACCGAGGAGGUGAGACUUGAGCACGAGCAGCGGGUCCAUGCCAGGAGCGGGGAGCCCCAACACCGAGCACCCAGCACCGAGCCCGGGGCCCCGGGAAGGACCUGCUCCCCCCGGGGCUCCCCCACUGCGCUGCUCUGGGGUGUUCCUCCCCUCCCCUCCAAGGCCCCCCGGGGCUCCCCUCGCCCUCUCCAAGGCCCCCCAGGGACGCCCCUCCCCCCUCUCCAAGGCCCCGAAGGCGCUGCCCCAGCUGGGAGGGCCCCUGAGCCACAGGAGCUCAAAGCUCCCAGGAACUUAGGGCUUUGUCCUAGGCGGUCUGUUUUUCAAAUAAAUUAUACCG